CAAAUAAACCAUUAUUUAUAGACACGUAUUGCCAAUGCAACAUUUAGCUACCACACCAGCCAUUUUGGAAUUUGAAAAGUGAGUGAUGGCAUUCGCUAUCAAUUCAAACAGGAAUUCUUCUUCCUUAUGUGAGAUGCCUCUCCUCACUACCUAGCUGCCAGUCACUCUCUCAGGCCAGGAACGACGACAGGAGGCCCAUUAAUGGAACGCAAGGAGAAAGCAGACCAGGAACAGGCACUAACUUGGCUGAGGGGAAAACUCAAAACCCAGAUGCAAGGCCAGGAACUAAGAGGCAUAAAAAAAAAGUGCCUCCAAAAACAAAACAAAACAAAACAAAACAAAAAAAAACACCCCAAAAGCCACAGUUAAAAAGGAAGUGUGAUAACUACAGAAAAGAGGAGAGAAACAGCCAUAACAACA